rnacentral:rRNA from 1 species
GACGAACCGUGCGAACGUUAUUCGGAAUCACUGGGCUUAAAGCGCGUGUAGGCGGGACGGCACGUCGGUAGCUGAAAUCCCCCGGCUCAACCGGGGAACGGGCGCCGAUACGACCGCCCUCGAGGGACGUAGGGGGACCUGGAACUUCCGGUGGAGCGGUGAAAUGCGUUGAGAUCGGAAGGAACGCCCGUGGCGAAAGCGAGGUUCUGGACGUUUUCUGACGCUGAGACGCGAAAGCCAGGGGAGCGAACGGG